rnacentral:rRNA from 1 species
GACGAACGCUGGCGGCGUGCUUAACACAUGCAAGUCGAACGGUAAGGCCCUUCGGGGUACACGAGUGGCGAACGGGUGAGUAACACGUGGGUGAUCUGCCCUGCACUUCGGGAUAAGCCUGGGAAACUGGGUCUAAUACCGGAUAGGACUCCGGACUGCAUGGUCUGGGGUGGAAAGCUUUUGCGGUGUGGGAUGGGCCCGCGGCCUAUCAGCUUGUUGGUGGGGUGAUGGCCUACCAAGGCGACGACGGGUAGCCGGCCUGAGAGGGUGACCGGCCACACUGGGACUGCGAUACGGCCCAGGCGCCUACGGGAGCCAGCAGUGGGGAAUAUUGCACAAUGGGCGCAAGCCUGAUGCAGCGACGCCGCGUGAGGGAUGACGGCCUCCGGGUUGUAAACCUCUUUCAGCAUCGACGAAGCGAAAGUGACGGUAGGUGCAGAAGAAGGACCGGCCAACUACGUGCCAGCAGCCGCCGUAA